rnacentral:rRNA from 1 species
CAGUCGCCACGGGAAUACGAAGGGUGCAAGCGUUAAUCGGAAUUACUGGGCGUAAAGCGUGCGUAGGCGGUUUGUUAAGUCUGUUGUGAAAUCCCCGGGCUCAACCUGGGAAUGGCAAUGGAUACUGGCAAGCUAGAGUGUGUCAGAGGAUGGUGGAAUUCCCGGUGUAGCGGUGAAAUGCGUAGAGAUCGGGAGGAACAUCAGUGGCGAAGGCGGCCAUCUGGGGCAACACUGACGCUGAGGCACGAAAGCGUGGGGAGCAGACAGGAUUAGAUACCCCAGUAGUCCCUGUCUCUUAUAC